AGAGUUUGAUCAUGGCUCAGGACGAACGCUGGCGGCGUUAACACAUGCAAGUCGAACGGAAAGCGCUCUUCGGAGUGACUCGAGUGGCGAACGGGUGAGUAACACGUGGGUGAUCUGCCCUGCACUUUGGGAUAAGCCUGGGAAACUGGGUCUAAUACCGGAUGGGACUACGGCCUGCAUGGGUUGUGGUGGAAAGCUUUUGCGGUGUGGGAUGGGCCCGCGGCCUAUCAGCUUGUUGGUGGGGUGAUGGCCUACCAAGGCGACGACGGGUAGCCGGCCUGAGAGGGUGUCCGGCCACACUGGGACUGAGAUACGGCCCAGACUCCUACGGGAGGCAGCAGUGGGGAAUAUUGCACAAUGGGCGCAAGCCUGAUGCAGCGACGCCGCGUGAGGGAUGACGGCCUUCGGGUUGUAAACCUCUUUCAGCACAGACGAAGCGCAAGUGACGGUAUGUGCAGAAGAAGCACCGGCCAACUACGUGCCAGCAGCCGCGGUAAUACGUAGGGUGCGAGCGUUGUCCGGAAUUACUGGGCGUAAAGAGCUCGUAGGUGGUUUGUCGCGUUGUUCGUGAAAACUCACAGCUUAACUGUGGGCGUGCGGGCGAUACGGGCAGACUGGAGUACUGCAGGGGAGACUGGAAUUCCUGGUGUAGCGGUGGAAUGCGCAGAUAUCAGGAGGAACACCGGUGGCGAAGGCGGGUCUCUGGGCAGUAACUGACGCUGAGGAGCGAAAGCGUGGGGAGCGAACAGGAUUAGAUACCCUAGUAGUCC
rnacentral:rRNA from 1 species